rnacentral:rRNA from 1 species
UACGGAGGGUGCAAGCGUUAUCCGGAUUCACGUGGGUUAAAGGGUCCGUAGGCGGUUUAGUAAGUCAGUGGUGAAAGCCCAUCGCUCAACGGUGGAACGGCCAUUGAUACUGCUAGACUUGAAUUAUUAGGAAGUAACUAGAAUAUGUAGUGUAGCGGUGAAAUGCUUAGAGAUUACAUGGAAUACCAAUUGCGAAGGCAGGUUACUACUAAUGGAUUGACGCUGAUGGACGAAAGCGUGGGUAGCGAACAGG